rnacentral:pre_miRNA from 1 species
UCUUAUGGAGAAGUGAAGGAAGUCGUUUCUUGGGAUGGAAUCUACUCCUGGUGAAGAUGCUGUGAA